UCUCAUAAUGUAAAAUGAUGUUGGGCGCCUGGGGGACGCAGGUUAAGCAUCUGCCUUUGGCUCAGGUCAUGAUGUCAGGGUCCUGGAAUGG